UGGAGGUGCUUCUCGAGACAUGUCAGACUUCAGACCGUGACUAGUGUAAGCAUCAGGGUAAAAACAACUUUGGGCCUUUGGUGAUGUUCCCAUGUCUUCUGAUGAAGAAGUUGUAGGCAUAAUUGGGUUAGAUAGUGGAACAGCACCACCACCACCGCUAAGAGGUGUUGAUGAACCAGAUACAGCACGGGGGCUUGAUAUGGUAGAGGGGGA
rnacentral:misc_RNA from 1 species